rnacentral:lncRNA from 1 species
GCUGAAGAAAAAGCUGAUCAGCGCAGGCCGGUGUUGAACCGCAAGCAGCGUCUGAGGCACUGGGUGGUCGAAGCUGUGAUAGAUCAAGCGCUGAUCACGCGGCACCACCUCAAGAAGCAGGCAUCCAGUGCACGUGCCAACAUUACUCUGUAGGGGAAGAAGCCUAGAAAACUCCUCCGGCAGAUCCGGCUUGCCCAGAUGGAGAAGGCAGCCAUGGAGGUGGAAGCCCGUCAAAGCCAGCCAGGAC